rnacentral:rRNA from 1 species
AGAUAAGGAGCUUGCUCCUUUGACGUUAGCGGCGGACGGGUGAGUAACACGUGGGUAACCUACCUAUAAGACUGGGACAACUUCGGGAAACCGGAGCUAAUACCGGAUAAUAUGUUGAACCGCAUGGUUCAAUAGUGAAAGAUGGUUUUGCUAUCACUUAUAGAUGGACCCGCGCCGUAUUAGCUAGUUGGUGAGGUAACGGCUCACCAAGGCAACGAUACGUAGCCGACCUGAGAGGGUGAUCGGCCACACUGGAACUGAGACACGGUCCAGACUCCUACGGGAGGCAGCAGUAGGGAAUCCUCCGCAGUGGGCGAAAGCCUGACGGAGCAACGCCGCGUGAGUGAUGAAGGUCUUAGGAUCGUAAAACUCUGUUAUUAGGGAAGAACAAACGUGUAAGUAACUGUGCACGUCUUGACGGUACCUAAUCAGAAAGCCACGGCUAACUACGUGCCAGCAGCCGCGGUAAUACGUAGGUGGCAAGCGUUAUCCGGAAUUAUUGGGCGUAAAGCGCGCGUAGGCGGUUUUUUAAGUCUGAUGUGAAAGCCCACGGCUCAACCGUGGAGGGUCAUUGGAAACUGGAAAACUUGAGUGCAGAAGAGGAAAGUGGAAUUCCAUGUGUAGCGGUGAAAUGCGCAGAGAUAUGGAGGAACACCAGUGGCGAAGGCGACUUUCUGGUCUGUAACUGACGCUGAUGUGCGAAAGCGUGGGGAUCAAACAGGAUUAGAUACCCUGGUAGUCCACGCCGUAAACGAUGAGUGCUAAGUGUUAGGGGGUUUCCGCCCCUUAGUGCUGCAGCUACGCAUUAAGCACUCCGCCUGGGG